UAGGCCACGCUUUCACGGUUC
rnacentral:siRNA from 1 species